CCUACGGGUGGCAGCAGUGGGGAAUAUUGGGCAAUGGGCGCAAGCCUGACCCAGCAACGCCGCGUGAAGGAAGAAGGCCCUCGGGUUGUAAACUUCUUUUAUCAAGGACGAAAAAAAUUCCGGUACUCGAUGAAUAAGCCACGGCUAACUACGUGCCAGCAGCCGCGGUAAUACGGAGGUGGCAAGCGUUAUCCGGAUUUACUGGGUGUAAAGGGCGUGUAGGCGGGACGGUAAGUCAGUUGUGAAAGCCAUGGGCUCAACCCAGGAACUGCAUUUGAAACUGUAGUUCUUGAGUGUUGGAGAGGCAGGCGGAAUUCCGUGUGUAGCGGUGAAAUGCGUAGAUAUAAGGAGGAACACCAGUGGCGAAGGCGGCCUGCUGGACAGUAACUGACGCUGAGGCGCGAAAGCGUGGGGAGCAAACAGGAUUAGAUACCCCAGUAGUC
rnacentral:rRNA from 1 species